rnacentral:rRNA from 1 species
UUGACGGUACCCUACUAGAAAGGAGCCGCUAACUUCGUGCCAGAAGCGUCGGUAAUACGGGGGCUCCAAGCGUUAUCCGGUGUUAUUGGGCGUAAAGAGUCGUGUAGGUGGUUGGGUAAGUUAUCUUUCAAAUAUCUUUGCUUAACAAAGAGGAGGGGGAUAAUACUGCUCGACUAGAAUUUUCUCAAGGGAGAUCGGAACUGAGGGAGGAGUAGUGAAAUGCGUUGAUACCCUCGGGAACACCAGUGGCGUAGGCGGAUCUCUGGGAGAAGAUUGACACUGAGACACGAAAGCUAGGGGAGCGAAGCAGAUUAGAGACCUGCGUAGUCCUAGCCGUAAACGCAUGCUUGCUAGCUGCAUGAAUCUACCUUCGGGUGGUAUCGUGUGGCGAAGGUAACCCGUUAAGCAAGCCGCCUGGAAAGUACGGCCGCAAGGCUGAAAUUCAAAGGAAUUGGCGGGGAGGCACACAACCAGUGGAACAUGUGGUUUAAUUCGAGACUAACCGAAGAACCUCACCAGGGUUUGACAUGUAGCUGCACGUCUUAAGAAAUUAAGACUCUCUUGAAGGUGCUACACAGGUGCUGCAUGGCUGUCGUCAGCUCGUUCCGUGAGGAGUGCCCUUAAGUGGGACAACGAGCGCAACCCCUAUUACAUGUUAGAAAUGUCAUGUAAGACUGCCUUGCCAUUUGGCGGGGAGGAAGGAGGGGCAGACGUCAAGUCCGCAUGGUCCUUAUGCCCUGGGCUACACACAUGUUACAAUGAGUACGGCAAUGAGUCUGUCGCGAGCACGUAAGUGUAAGCUAAUCUCUUAAAUGUACUCUCAGUGGGGGUUGAGGUCUGCAACUCGACCUCAUGAACACGGAAUUGGUAGUAAUCGCGGGUCAGCUAUACCGCGGUGAAUACGUUCUUGCCUCUUGCACACACCGCCCGUCAAACCAGCAAAGU